AAAAAAUAUUACUGUAAUGACAAAAGUAACUUACUCUCGAAAGAAAAGGUGGUCAAAAUUUGCUACAUUAAAAGUUUUUUUCUUGUUUUGAAAAUGAAAACUUUUACUGCUACAGUUUUUGAAAAUCUCAUUGCUUACUGAAUUAAAAGUUUUAACUUUUAAUUCGACUGUAUAAUUUCUUUCAUUUUGUCGUUCUCGUGUAACCGUCCACGCCUAAGUCCAAAAUGUAAACAAACGUUUAGGUGCAGGUGAUUUCGGUGGUUAGUGAGUGGUGGUUCACGACGGCAAUCAAUGCCGAGCGCGGCCACAGCCAGGACAUAAACCACGACUUGGACGCGGAAACCUUCGAAGGAGGAUGGUGCGAGUGCGGAACAAGUUUGGGGAUUUAGGGGAAAGUUGGUUUUCAAAAGGAUAAGGCCAGCUUCCUGCAGGACCUGCAGCUGUUUCACGACCGGAAUGGGACGCCGUUUAUGCGGUUGCCGAAGAUCGGAGGUCGGGAUGUGGAUUUGCACCGGUUGUAUUCCCGGGGUGGAACGGGGUGGGUAGACGAGAUUGAAGUUGAAGCAGAUUUGCAUCCGCUUUUUGAACAAGUACCAGUUAAUUUUAACGGUGAGGAGAAGGAUCCGACGGAAGAGGAAAACGACGAGAAGCGGCAUAAUCGGAGGUGGUCAGUGCGGAUGUUGCACUCGGUGCCGGCGGUUUAUGACCAUCAGCAGCAUUAUGUGCCGGAAGUGAUGACGGGUCAGUGUGGGAUGUCCUGAGGGUCAGCAGUCCAUUUCUCGUUACGGGGCAUGUUUAAUGAGUAUUACCUAAACAUCCGGAAGAACAGUUUGCACCAGUUCUGGAAGGACCGUCUGUACGAAAGCCGCAGGUCCUGGAACUGUCGUAAUCGGAUUACUUCCAGAGGUUGGAGCGAGAUCCGACGAACCUGAUCAAGAACAUCUACCUGGAAUACCGAAGAAGUCACCGCAACUCCCACCCGCAAACGCUCAUCUCGCGACGGCGCAGCUUCUUCCGGAUGAACUUUGACGGCGAGUUUGCAACAUCUGGGAGGACGAAGUGAUCGGGAACUAUCCUUUCAGGCCGAGUUUCAGGCGCUUCACUUCCCAGCCGGAAAACGUCGACUUCCCUUCCCGAAUCAACAACCAAUGGCCAAUUCCUCCAAGCCUGUCCAGAUGAUGGCCGGCAACGAGACCACCCUGUUCUCUACAUCGCUGUCGAGCUCCAAAAUGAAGGGCGCGAUGUUGCUGCCCUACGAAACGUCCAUCCGUAACCUGCUCAGCCUGGGGUCUUCGGACGCGGAAGUUGGCUAACCAUAAGCAGAUGCGUUAAAUACAACAAUAAAACGAAAACAUACUGUUUUAAUAUUAAAAUAUUGAAAUAAAAUCCAUCACAUUUUUCGAAAAUCAUCACUGUAAUGUUAAGUGUUAUUUAUUCUUGCCAUAAAAAGUUUUUUCUUAUAUGAAAAGUAAAAAACUUUUACCGAUACAACGAUUUUGUUCCAGAAAUGCAUGGUAGUAUCAAAAACUUUCCAACUUUUAAAUUAAAAAGUUUGAACUUUCUACGAAUAUUCACCAACGCGAACUUUUAAUCCAACGAACGAUCUUUUUAAAUUUAGAGUAUUUUUUCUUUG